rnacentral:rRNA from 1 species
UCCUACGGGGCGCAGCAGUAGGGAAUUUUCGUCAAUGGGCGCAAGCCUGAGCGAGCAAUGCCGCGUGAACGAGGAAGGUCUUCGGAUCGUAAAGUUCUGUUGAAGGGGAAAAAGAGCGGAGAGAGGAAAUGGUCUCCGAUUGAUAUUACCCUUCGAGGAAGUCACGGCUAACUACGUGCCAGCAGCCGCGGUAAUACGUAGGUGGCGAGCGUUAUCCGGAAUGAUUGGGCGUAAAGGGUGCGUAGGCGGCCUGCUAAGUCUGGAGUGAAAGGUACCGGCUCAACCGGUACAGGGUCUGGAAACUG